CCGACGGGUGAGUAACACGUAUGCAAUCCACCUGUAACAGGGGGAGUAACCCGGAGAAAUCCGACUAAUACCCAUAAUAUGGGCGCUCCGCAUGGAGAGUCCAUUAAAGAGAGCAAUCUUGGUUACAGACGAGCAUGCGCUCCAUUAGCCAGUUGGCGGGGUAACGGCCCACCAAGGCGACGAUGGAUAGGGGUUCUGAGAGGAAGGUCCCCCACAUUGGAACUGAGACACGGUCCAA
rnacentral:rRNA from 1 species